UGAGGGGGCCGGCGCCGCCUGGAGGAAGGGUGACUCUUGUCUCCUCCUCGUCGACCUCCACCCGGGCGAGACUGGGGAAGUGGGUCCCGGGCGAGGCUGAGGGAGCAGACGAUCUGAAGAGAGGAGACUGUUAAGGAAAGGUGGCCGCCCUCAGUUGCCGGGCUUCGGGAAUGACCGGCAAAGCGGCCGCCUGAAGAGGCGGCGGUGGGUCCACGGACUGUUGCUGCCACCGCUCCCAGUGAUAGGUGUAUAAGGAGCGCAAAAGAGGCGGUGGCUCUUCGCAGUGGGGGAGGAAGGGCGCGCCGGCGACAGCGGCUCCAGUUUCUCCCGCAGCAGCAAUUUACAGCAGCUGGAAGAGCUAGUUGCCCGCAAAAUACCGACGCGCACCUACCCUCGCGAGAUUUCGGGAGGGGCGGUAACACGUGGGCGGGGCGAAGAGGUGGCGGGGGCGGUUCCAGAGAGGCAGCGCUCUGAUUACUUCUGCCUGGGAAGCCUAUCAAAAUGGCGCAAGCGCGUUGAGGGCGUUCGGUGAGGACCGGAAGUAGCCGAGAAGGGAGGGGUUGAGCCUCCCGAAGGGAGGAGUCUAGCACCGUGGUGCCCGGGAUUUGAGAGCGCGCGCCCGACGUAGGUGGGGUCAGUCAGAACGCCUAACUCCGUAACUGCAGUUCCAAAGAGACGCGUUUUGAGAGGGAUGAUUUUGGGUCGGUCUUUUUCUUGUAAAGAAAUGCUCUCGGGAAACGUUGGUGUGGACAUUUUGGCGUAUAUUUACGAUGUCUUACUAUCCAAGCCCGGAAUGUCCCACCCUAGGGCGUCGGCAGGUCCACCACCUCUGGCGUUACUAGAAUAACUCGCCCUUAUUGACUACGAGAUCUUUAAUUGAGAUCCCUAGAUACGAUCCUGCCGGCCAGAGGGUGGGGUCCUUGAGAUAUACCCGGGGAGUGUGCCAAUUCCAUGGAGUAAUGAUGGAUUUAUUGCUGGAGCUGAGCCAGUAUAAGGCCUCCGGUUACUUUUUCUCCGCACAUGUCUAUCGCUGCCGACACGAUGUGAGAGAAGUUCUUACUGCCCAAGAUGUGCGUCAGCUAAAUGAUAAAUCCCCUUUCAGGCCAGGCGUGAUGGCUCAUGCCUGUAAUCUCAGCACUUUGGGAAGCCAAGGUGGGCAGAUUGCUUGAGCUCAGGAGUUUGAGACCAGCCUGGGCAACAUGGUGAAACCUGUCCCUACAGAAAAUACAAAAAUUAGCGGGGCACGGUGGUACAAGUCUGUAGUCUCAGCUACUUGGGAGGCUCAGGUGGGAGGACUACUUGAGCCCGGAAAGUGGAGGUUGCAGUGAGCAGAGAUCGCUCCACUGCACUCCAGCCUGGGCAACAGAGCGAGACCCUGUCUCAAAAAAAAAAUCCCUUUAAAAAUGUAAAUAAAUGUCUUUUAAAUAAUUUUUUUAAAUUAUUUUUUUCUAGAAUUAGAUUUUUAGGAUUUUGGUCUUUUGGGAUUUUAAACUUUAGGGAUUUUGUUAUUUUUAUUUUUUACUUUUUGUUUAUUUUGGACUUUGGGGAUUUUGAUCUUUCAGGAUUUCAACAUUCAAGAUUAUGGCAUUCAGGAUUGUGUGUUUUGGGAUUGUGGUCCAAACUUUCUGAGGGAGAUGCAGACACAUAAACAGAUAAUCACAAUAAGAAAUUAUGUAGAAUACAAAUUAUUCUUCAUUACAUAAGUAAGUUCAAGCGAUCGCCUUAUGGCCAAGUAUUUGGGUUGGAAGCUAUAUAUGCACAAUACUAAACAGUCUUAGCCAAAUCUGACAAGUUUUUCAAAACAUGUUUAUGACUGGGUUUGUAACAGACUUUUUUCUUCCCUCAAGGCAGGCACUUUAUUGUUGAAUUGGGGGAGGGGGAUUGGUUUACCUAUCCAAUGACAGGAUGCAGUUCAUUUAUUUGUAAAUUUAAUCAGCAAGCAUCUGACGGCCUAUUGCGUGCCAGAUAUUGUUAGACCUUGGGAAUACACCAAGAUAUAAGACAAAAUCUCUCCCUUUAGAGAGCUACUUAUCAAAUGGAUUCGCUGGCACACAAAAAUAUAGUCAUAAUACAAUGAGCUAAAAACUGUGAUGGAACUUUGCAUUUUAUAUUAUUGGAGGAUGUAUGAGAGAUACUGAAGCCAGCCUUUGCAGAGAAGGUACCAGGGAAUAUUUCCUGAAGGUGAUCUCUGAGUUCAGUGUUAAAGAAUAUGUAGGAAUUAGGCUGAUGAAGGGGAUGGGUGUGACCGAAGCAUUCUUAGAGAGAACACCAGCAAAGGCAGGGAGAUGAGUAGUAUGGUGCAAGUGGAGGACUACAAGCAGUUUGAAUUGCCAUAUCAUGAAAUGCAAGGCAGAUAAUGGUGAGGAAUUAGAUUAGAGAAGUAAGAGAUUAGAUUACGGACAGCUUUGCGUACCAUGUUAUAAAGUUUGAACUUCAUCCUUCAAGUGAAGGGGAACCAUGGAGAGGUUUUAAGGAGGGAAACUACAUGAUCAGAUGUGCAUUUUGCAACCAUUGUGUUAGCUACGUUGAGGGUAGAUUUGAAUGGGCAAAUUUAAAAUAUGGAGUAGGAUUGGCAUGGAACCUAAAAAUUCAUGGUGUCUUUGGGGAGUAGCAUAGGCUAGUGUGGUGCUCAUUUGGGGAGACCUGGAGAAGAAUGACAGAACCUUGAAACAAAACGGCUUAUGGCCAGAUUGUGAAGGAUGUUGAUUGCCAAGCUAACCAAGGAGCUUGAAUUUGGCUUAUGUGACACGGCAUUUGCUUAGUGAUUCCACCUAUAUUAGAUGUGAAACUCAAACAUCUCUACAAAUACUACUCUGUUUGUCAAAAACUGAGUUUUUGGAUUUGCCUAGUUACUUCGUCAAUGGUGUCUGACCUUAGAAUCACAGGGACUUGAGGACUUUAAAGUAGUAUAUCUCUACCUGGAACAGUAUGUACUUAACUUCAACCAAAGCCAGAUUCCUUAAGAAAGUAGGUGAAAGAGUAAGGUAAUAUACUU
ensembl:lncRNA